GAUGAAGAACGUAGCGAAAUGCGAUACUUGGUGUGAAUUGCAGAAUCCCGUGAACCAUCGAGUCUUUGAACGCAAGUUGCGCCCGAAGCCGUCAGGCCGAGGGCACGCCUGCCUGGGCGUCACACGCCGUUGCCCCCCCGCGCCCCGCACCCAACUCUUUGGGAGCGACCGCGGGGCGGGCUGAUGAUGGCCUCCCGUGCGCUCCGCCGCGCGGUUGGCCCAAGUACCGAGUCCCCGGCGACGUGCGCCACGACGAUCGGUGGUUGAGAGACCUCUGUCGCAAGUCGUGCGCGCCCGUCGCGUCACGCGGGCUCGCAUAGCGCCUCGCGCCGCACCCGGUGCGGAGCUUUCAACGCGACCCCAGGUCAGGCGGGGUUACCCGCUGAAUUUAAGCAUAUCAAUAAGCGGAGGA
rnacentral:misc_RNA from 1 species